rnacentral:rRNA from 1 species
UACAGAGGUCCCAAGCGUUGUUCGGAUUCACUGGGCGUAAAGGGUGCGUAGGCGGUCGGGUAAGUCUGAUGUGAAAUCUCACAGCUUAACUGUGAAACUGCAUUGGAUACUAUCCGGCUAGAGGAAUGGAGGGAGACUGGAAUACUUGGUGUAGCAGUGAAAUGCGUAGAUAUCAAGUGGAACACCAGUGGCGAAGGCGAGUCUCUGGACAUUUCCUGACGCUGAGGCACGAAAGCCAGGGAGCAAACAG